GAUGAACGCUGGCGGCGUGCUUAACACAUGCAAGUCGAACGGAAAGGCCGAAGCUUGCUUCGGUACUCGAGUGGCGAACGGGUGAGUAACACGUGGGUGAUCUGCCCUGUACUUCGGGAUAAGCUUGGGAAACUGGGUCUAAUACCGGAUAUGACGAUCUCUUGGAUGGGGUUGUGGAAAGCUUUUGCGGUAUGGGAUGAGCUCGCGGCCUAUCAGCUUGUUGGUGGGGUAAUGGCCUACCAAGGCGUCGACGGGUAGCCGGCCUGAGAGGGUGUACGGCCACAUUGGGACUGAGAUACGGCCCAGACUCCUACGGGAGGCAGCAAUGGGGAAUAUUGCACAAUGGGCGCAAGCCUGAUGCAGCGACGCCGCGUGGGGGAUGACGGCCUUCGGGUUGUAAACUCCUUUCGCAAUCGACGAAGCCUUUUGGUGACGGUAGGUUGAGAAGAAGCACCGGCUAACUACGCG
rnacentral:rRNA from 1 species